rnacentral:rRNA from 1 species
CGGAGUGAAGCAUGUUAUUUAAUACGAUAAUCCGCGUAAAACCUUACCAGAACUUGCAUACAAACUAUAAAUUUUUUUUCCUUAGGGACACAAAAUAUUAGGGGUAUUUUAUAAUUUAAAAUACUUAAGUACAGGUGUUGCAUGGCUGUCUUCAGUUCGUGUUGUUAAACAUUAGGUUAAUUCCACUAACGAACGAAAUCCCUGUUAUUAAUUUAUACUUAAUAACUAAUAAAUCUGAUAGAGAUUUAGCGGGGGCUAAGACAAGUCGUUAUGGCCCUCAUGUUCUGGGCUAUAGACGUGCCACAAAAACUUUUACAAAGUGAUGCAAUACUUCCCAAGAGAAGUGGAGCUAAUCAUUAAAAAAAGUGAUUUAUAUUAAAUAUAAGCCGGAUUGUCUCCUGUAAUUCGGAGGCAUGAAGAAGGAAA